UACGAAGGGUGCAAGCGUUACUCGGAAUUACUGGGCGUAAAGCGCGCGUAGGCGGCUUUGCAAGUCGGGUGUGAAAUCCCCAGGCUUAACCUGGGAACUGCAUUCGAGACUGCAUUGCUAGAGUAUGGGAGAGGGAAGUGGAAUUUCCGGUGUAGCGGUGAAAUGCGGUAGAUAUCGGAAGGAACAUCAGUGGCGAAGGCGGCAUCCUGGACCAUUACUGACACUGAAAAGCGAAAGCCAGGGGAGCAAACGGG
rnacentral:rRNA from 1 species